rnacentral:lncRNA from 1 species
AUGGCCGUAAACACCGGUCCCUUGUAGCUGAUGCACCAUGUUUGCAGGUAAUAGACUAAGGCCGAGCUCACAACUCCCUGUUUUGCAAUAGUAAGAAGCGUAUGAAAACAAAUGGAUGAACAAUAUGUUACUGGCUAAAUCUGAUGACUUAUGUUGUUACGUUGGCAAAAGCAGUUCCCACAUUCAAACAACAAUCGAAGUACUCAGAUGGUUCAGAUCGAAAUAUGAAUAAAAGACAAACAGGUAGAAAAGAAAACACUCACACUGUAGACAAUGGUUAAAAGUUGCACAUUUGUAUCAAUUCUCCAUGAAGCUUGAUCUCUUGCGAAAAACAUAGCAACAAUGGAAGAUUGCAAUGAUGCGAAAAAGCAUAUCAGGGUGGUCAGUGACAAUGGAGCAGGGUAGACUCUGGUGACCACAGCCUAUGAGCCAAAUAAACAACAAGGACAUGUUGAACACACAACUUAAUUCACUGUAUAGAGAUGUAAUUUGAAAUCAAGGAUUUAAUCACCUGCAGAAUCAGCCAUGAACACCAUACUAUCUGACUGAUAAGAAUAAGAGCAGAACCCUUGAUCCAGUUUUCGCUACCAUGCUUCAACUCAGUGCUAUAUAUAGUGAGCAGUGGCCUCUCAACAAGACCCUUGAAAAGGUACCCUUUCCAGAAAGUGAAAAUUAGAGAACCACAGAUGCAAAGAAGUGUGCCAACUACCUUUGCUUGACCUCUGACACUUUUUAUAUUCAAAUUCUCCAUCCUGAAAAGAGCAAGUAGAUGAUCACCCGCUUAGGCAUAAAAUUUUAUUUGGACUAUACUUUCAGAGUUUGUCUACGGCACAUCAAUGUAUCAACACCAAGUAGACCAGCUCCGUGAUGUAGCAGCUAGACCGACUCCAUGCAUGUAGCGGUGGAUUAGUGCCGCCUGGUCAGCGGCCUUGAGCUAGUCUACAAGUGCAUGGAGCUGAUCUAGUGUUGAUGUAUGGAUACAUUAUUGCACCGUAGACUCUCCCAUACUGCAUAUGUUUGUGAUACACUUUAAACCUGCAUGGCUAUCUCUGUAUGUUGUUUUGAACGUACAUAAGCACAAAAAGAACCAGAGAAAGGUGGAUUUACACGAUGUGUGUAGAGACUAUACCGAAGUAGAACUGCCAUUAGAAACGUCAAAGUUGGGACUAUGUUACUCAAGGCGCAGGCAACUGUGGGGGAGGUGUAUGCUAAACCAGUGUAGUACACAUUGAGAUGGAUAGUAGUCCCAAAUAAUGUGAGCACAAAAACUUUUGCUGCUAUUGAAAAUGUGAGUGAAGGUCUUUGCUUCCUGGUUUGCCAAUUCAUUCUAGUAUUAAUUUUCUCUGUUCAUAAAUAAACAACAAUAUGAGUCUAAUAAGAUGCAAGAAUAUACAGUUUACCUUUCAAGAACAUAAGCAAAUGGUGCUAGCAAAAACAUGGCCAUAACAUGCCUAUAAACCACAAAGACAACUGGCUUGAGACCUUCCUCAAGAGAAAGUUUAACGAGGACGCUUGAACCACCAUAGGCUAUCUGAACCAGUAUCAUUACCAAGUAGUACCUGCAUCCCUCCAUGUUUAUACGAAUUGUUCUAGUUCAAUCUGUUAUAACAUUACUAACAAGUUUCAAUCAGUAGGUUUUUAUAGCAGUGCAGGAUCAACCAGAACCACACCUUCUGAGUACCACUCUUUUUAGUUAGAAAUAAAGUUAAAAAACAAUUAACUAAAUAGCUAGUGGAAUUCACAUGCAUCAAUUAUGCUUACGAAGGAUGGCAACUCACCUUAAAAUCAAAAGGGAUGACUGAAACAGAAUAGAGAAACACUUGGAUUGUAGAACUCUUUUAGAUUAAAUUUUGGGGAAUUUUCCUUUUAGUGCACAUUGAGGUGUUGUCCAGAUUUUGGUACAGAUGCACUUCAAAGUCACGUCAUCAUUUUCAUUCACAAUGAGGAUACUGAUUAGGAGGUGAAUUCGAUUGUCGGACUUUAGACUGUUGUUUUGUUAGGUUCAGGUUUUGGUAUGUGAUAUCUGCACUAACAGCAAGUGAACUUCAUUUUGGAUUUUGAUAUAGCUGCUUUAUAUGUAGGUUCUGGUCUGCAUGCCCUCAAUAUAUAUUAGCAAGUUCAUCAGUUAGGUAUGAAUUGAAAUUCCUUCUUCUAUACAUACAUAUAUCGUAUACAUAUAUGACAUAUGGUACAUCAGCUAGUACUGUGAACAAGGUUUUCCCUGAAUCUCUGUAAUAUCAGGAGCUCAAGAAUUUUAGAGAUUCAAGCUAGUGAUGAUGUUAGUACGUAUUAUGUAGACGCAUCCAAGCUUCUUUUGCUGUGCAUGAUGGGAUCAGACGUAUGGAUGCUUACUGUUAUAUAAAGCUAAAUAUUGCUUUGUAUAGACUUUUGGCACUCACUACUUAAGCCAUGAUAAACUAAUUAGUGGAUACGGUAAUCCCCGGAUGAAAAAUAUGUGAUUUCCACUCUAUUCCACUACCACAAAAGAAGGUUGCUUAUAUCAUUCUGCCACCUCAAGCUGAACAUAAACCGGCUUAAUAGUUAGUGAGGUGUGACUAUGGUUUUAAAUUUUAAUAAACUCUAAUUGGAUAAGAACUAUGUAGCUGCUUAUGGAUAAUGAGUAAUGCCCACUUUUGUUGUCGUGAAAGAAAAAGAUUGAAGAAAAACUAGUAACCAAUAAGCUGAUGCGAUAUGAAAUCUCUAAUUCGAUAGAAUCAGCAUAUUCAAGAUGGAUACCAGUGUUGCAUAAUCAAAAGCCAUUUGCUAAAAGAACCACAACUCCUUAUGAUUCAAACAUACGAACCAAAAGAUGGCCUAAUUCUGAUACAUUCUGAAAGCAUGAAUCAGGUCUCUCCAGCUAUGAUGGAAAAGUGGUUCCAAUUCUAUACGAAAAUGAAGCAACUUAAAGGCUUAUGAAAAGCCGUGUGAAAUACCAGUUUGUGAUUAACAUUGAAGCUUUUAUGAAAUAAUACUGUCGGAGAGAGCAGAAUUUCUCUUCUUCACGUGUGUUAUCAAGUUUCAAAGUUCAUACGGAGUGCUUAGGAUGGUGAGAAUUUUAAUUUGGAUUUGAUCAACAACAUGAUUUGUAUAACAGAUAUGUGAAUAAACAUGAAUUUCAUAGAUGCCGGGUUUUGUGAAUCAUGCUAAAUCAAAACUUUCUUUUACAUAAAAGUGAUAAAACUGUUCUUAUGACUGUUCUUUCUCUAGUUUCAGGCUUCAUCACUAUAUCGGCCAUUCACGGAUAUGCCACCAUUAGGCACUCCUUUUCCAUUCAGGUUGAGAUCAGCAAUAGCAUUAUCUUUGUUCUUUCCCCAUAGCACACAGUAAAGGCCAACGAUGAUGAGAAAUGCUCCAAUCAAGCUGAAAAUAAUUAUUGUUUUACAUUAUUUAUGACAAGCAGAAAGUAAUAUAUCAAGCUUACAAACAAGUGAAACAACUCUGAAGUAGUAUCAAGAUGGAACAAGAAGAAAGUAAUUUACCUGCCUAAGUGGAGUCUCUCUGCGAAAGCAAUUGCCGAGAAGAUUGCCACUAUAAUAACUUGUAGGGGACUAAACAUAGCUGCGAAAACUGGUCCCUUAUGUCUGAUGCACCAUGUUUGCAGGUAAUAGACUAAUGCCGAAACCACAACUCCCUAAUACAAAAGGAUCAGAUGAACAUAAAUUAAGGAAAUACAUAGUAGUGACAAAAUUGAGCCUCACUUCUCUUACUGUUUGAUUGAAACUGGAAUCCCACAUAACGAAUCCAACUACUGAAAGGUUGAGAUCCACAUUUAAGCAUUCCAUACAUAAGAUAAACAUAUACAGAAGAGAACACACUCACAC